CACGAGCAGAGGAAGCCCAAGAAAAAUUUUGCAUUAACACCUUUUAUGUUAUUUGUGACAACUUAGUUGCUGAACUUAUGAGAAGAAAAACAGCAUAUGACUCUUUCUAUGGAAAGUUUAAAUUCAUUACUGAUCUAUCAAAAACUGAGCCAUCAGCAGUUUCACAGCAUGCAAAUAACCUUUGUUCUUCUUACAGCAAAGACUUGGAACAGGAGUGUUUUGUUGAGGAGUGCCUCCACUUUCGUUCAUACCUAAUAAGUUCUUCUACAGAAGAUACCUCUGUUCUGGCGAUGUCCCGAAUGAUACGAGAGAGAGGAUUGCAAAGCAUUUAUUUAUUUUUCGACUCAAGCGAGUGAAGAACUAAUUGCGAUCCAGAAUGGGAGAGGAAAGAUUGAACCCCCUGGCAGUGUUGGCAAUAGAAUCCGAGCUGACAAAAUCUUUGGACUAUGAAGAGCUCAUCAACAGCUUUGCCUCACAGAGAGUUUGGUGAAAGCCACUUUAGAUCUAAUAGUCUAAUAUUCAACAGUUUGCACUUAUUUAAGUC